rnacentral:misc_RNA from 1 species
GUACUCUCACACUCUCUGAUCCUUUGGGAUUCGGGGAGCGGUGGACUUGGGUGUUUGCUGCUUUCCUUGUGGCUCACCUCAAAUGCGUCAGUGCACCUCUUGGUUGGACAUAGUACGGCGUGAUAAGUGUCUUCGCCGGCACCUCGCAAGAGGGUGGUCAAUUGGGAGCUCUGUGCUUCCAACCGUCUUCGGACAAUAUUUGAUA